CUCCAGGGAGACUGCCGGUGAUAAACCGGAGGAAGGUGGGGACGACGUCAAGUCAUCAUGGCCCUUACGAGUAGGGCUACACACGUGCUACAAUGGCGCAUACAGAGGGCANNCAACUUGCGAAAGUGAGCGAAUCCCAAAAAGUGCGUCGUAGUCCGGAUUGGAGUCUGCAACUCGACUCCAUGAAGUCGGAAUCGCUAGUAAUCGUGGAUCAGAAUGCCACGGUGAAUACGUUCCCGGGCCUUGUACACACCGCCCGUCACACCAUGGGAGUGGGCUGCAAAAGAAGUGGGUA
rnacentral:rRNA from 1 species